GACGAACGCUGGCGGCGUGCCUAAUACAUGCAAGUAGAACGCUGAAGAGAGGAGCUUGCUCUUCUUGGAUGAGUUGCGAACGGGUGAGUACGCGUAGGUACCCUGACGGGGGAUAACUAUUGGAAACGAUAGCUAAUACCGCAUAACAAUGAAUGACUCAUGUCAUUUAUUUGAAAGGGGCAAUUGCUCCACUACAAGAUGGACCUGCGUUGUAUUAGCUAGUAGGUGAGGUAACGGCUCACCUAGGCGACGAUACAUAGCCGACCUGAGAGGGUGAUCGGCCACACUGGGACUGAGACACGGCCCAGACUCCUACGGGAGGCAGCAGUAGGGAAUCUUCGGCAAUGGGGGCAACCCUGACCGAGCAACGCCGCGUGAGUGAAGAAGGUUUUCGGAUCGUAAAGCUCUGUUGUAAGUCAAGAACGAGUGUGAGAGUGGAGAAUUCACACUGUGACGGUAGCUUACCAGAAAGGACGGCUAACUAC
rnacentral:rRNA from 1 species